GUAAUGGAGUGGGAGAAAACCGGGCCGGGGGUUUUAUAAGGAAAUAGAAGAAGAUGGGUUGCUGAGUGGACAUAAUAUUUGCCACGUGGAGUCCUACAUGGCAGUAAUUAUCCUGAAAUUGGCAGCUUGCUAGCGUGACAAUUAUUGCACUUUCACCCAGUUUGGGUUCAUGGACAUGGGCCAGAUGGCGACACGUGUCGGGUGGAUGAAGUGAAAGUGGGGGACGAGAGCGGGGCAAAGUUUACGGUGUUCGCAAAAAUAUUUACCAUCUCGAAAAUAAACUUCCUAUUAAUUUUUUUAUUCAAUAAAAAAAUUAAAUUCUCGAUUCA